UACGUAGGGUGCGAGCGUUGUCCGGAAUUAUUGGGCGUAAAGAGCUCGUAGGCGGUCUGUCGCGUCGAUCGUGAAAACUUGGGGCUUAACCCUGAGCUUGCGGUCGAUACGGGCAUGACUGGAGUUCGGCAGGGGAGACUGGAAUUCCUGGUGUAGGCGGUGAAAUGCGCAGAUAUCAGGAGGAACACCGGUGGCGAAGGCGGGUCUCUGGGCCGAUACUGACGCUGAGGAGCGAAAGCGUGGGGAGCGAACAGG
rnacentral:rRNA from 1 species